rnacentral:rRNA from 1 species
GACGAACGCUGGCGGCGUGCUUAACACAUGCAAGUCGAACGGAAAGGCCAGUGCUUGCACUGGUACUCGAGUGGCGAACGGGUGAGUAACACGUGGGUGAUCUGCCUUGCACUCUGGGAUAAGCUUGGGAAACUGGGUCUAAUACCGGAUAUGAACUGCCUUUAGUGUGGUGGUUGGAAAGUUUUUUCGGUGCAAGAUGAGCUCGCGGCCUAUCAGCUUGUUGGUGGGGUAAUGGCCUACCAAGGCGUCGACGGGUAGCCGGCCUGAGAGGGUGUACGGCCACAUUGGGACUGAGAUACGGCCCAGACUCCUACGGGAGGCAGCAGUGGGGAAUAUUGCACAAUGGGCGGAAGCCUGAUGCAGCGACGCCGCGUGGGGGAUGGCGGCCUUCGGGUUGUAAACUCCUUUCGACAGGGACGAAGCGUAAGUGACGGUACCUGUAUAGGAAGCACCGGCUAACUACGUG